CUAGCGUAAUGGAAAACGCAUUGGAUUUCUAAUCCAAAGGUCGUGGUUUCGAAUCCCACUUCUUGCGA